rnacentral:lncRNA from 1 species
CAGAGAAAGAGCAGGUAAAGUUGUGCAUGAUGGGCAAAGGAAUCUCCUGAGAUACUUCAGAGGGACCAGGACUGGAGUGAACAGCUGCAUUCAAGGGAGACUGAUUGCUCAGCCUCCACUCAAGAGGCUGCCCCAGGAGCAAUUAGGAGUUAGGAAUUAAGAGACUGACCAUGUCUAAUUGAGCAAAGCUGAGAGAGACCUACAUCAGAGGAGUGGAAUGAUGGACAAGCCAGUGUGGGAAGCAGAGAGCAUUAGUGGUUCCUGAGGCUUUCUCUCCCUACGUUGCCAUUGUGGUGAAUGGGCAGAGCUCUGGCUAAUCUUUUCCCUCCCAGUUUCUUCUUGAAGCUUGUGACUUCACCCCUCCUCCCUGAGUGGACUAUGAAGAUACUCUUGUUUUCUUUCUCAGAAUAGAUUCUCUCUGUGACAGAUUGAUUCUGUGGCCUUGACUUCCCAGAAGCCCUGUAAAAUCCUUGGAUGAGUGCUCAUGGGGAGAAGUUCUGGAGCCCUUGUCCCGACCAUUGGUCCCCAUCAGCUUGCUCCACUGGAGAAGGGAGGAGUAUGGUGGAAUGCACAUGAAUGCCAAAUUCCCUUUUCAUAUACCGAGAAGGAUUCUCCUCUAAAGAUCCCCUUUAAAUGUUUAAAUCACCAUUUAGCUGUCUUAGAAGCACUGGAUACAAGUGAUAAAGAGGCAGAAGAAAACAAUUACCAAUAUUUAGAGUUCAUCCCUAAAAGUAGGAUGGGAGGACGUGAACUCAGAACUUGUGGAAAUGACUGGGAGUGACAGAGAGGCAAUUUUUGGCUCGAUAAAAGGAAAACCCUUCAGUUUGGAUGCCAUGACUAGGAUGAGUUCUACUUCACUAGAGGUUUCCAAACAAAGCCUGGAUGGAAGAUAUCAUUUGAGAUGUUGUAGAAGGGAUUCGUGGACCAGUAUAGACUGGGCUAGAGAGAUGACGGCCCUUCCAACUCAGAGAUUCUGAAUUUCUGUGAAACCACAAAAUUGUGCCAGACACCAGACCCUGCAAUAAAAGUCUUGAC